rfam:Anaerobacillus macyae strain DSM 16346 Contig1, whole genome shotgun sequence.
AAAUUAAUACUUUCUGUACCGUAGACAGCAGGAGUGCUCUUGCACUUAAUAUCCUGCCGAGGUGUGAAGUGAUUCGAUACGUAUGUAAUCGUUAAGCCUUCAUGUCUUCGGAUGUGAAGGCUUUUUAUAUGACCUC